rnacentral:rRNA from 1 species
AGAGUUGAUAUGGCUCAGGAUGAACGCUAGCGACAGGCUAACACAUGCAAGUCGAGGGGCAGCAUAGAAGUAGCAUACUUGGUGGCGACCGGCGCACGGGUGAGUAACGCGUAUGCAACCUACCUAUCAGAGGGGAAUAACCCGGCGAAAGUCGGACUAAUACCGCAUAAAACAGGGGCACCGCAUGGUGAUAUUUGUUAAAGAAAUUCGCUGAUAGAUGGGCAUGCGUUCCAUUAGGUAGUUGGUGAGGUAACGGCUCACCAAGCCGACGAUGGAUAGGGGAACUGAGAGGUUGGUCCCCCACACUGGUACUGAGACACGGACCAGACUCCUACGGGAGGCAGCAGUGAGGAAUAUUGGUCAAUGGGCGGGAGCCUGAACCAGCCAAGUCGCGUGAAGGAAGAAGGAUCUAUGGUUCGUAAACUUCUUUUGCAGGGGAAUAAAGUGCAGGACGUGUCCUGUUUUGUAUGUACCCUGAGAAUAAGGAUCGGCUAACUCCGUGCCAGCCGCAGC